UCUGAUGUGAAAGCCCCCGGCUCAACCGGGGAGGGUCAUUGGAAACUGGGAAACUUGAGUGCAGAAGAGGAGAGUGGAAUUCCACGUGUAGCGGUGAAAUGCGUAGAGAUGUGGAGGAACACCAGUGGCGAAGGCGACUCUCUGGUCUGUAACUGACGCUGAGGAGCGAAAGCGUGGGGAGCGAACAGGAUUAGAUACCC
rnacentral:rRNA from 1 species